rnacentral:lncRNA from 1 species
UAGACAGGGCCCCUGUGAAGAAGAAAAAGGUAGGGGAAGAAGCAGCAUCCUAUGAGGCAGGAUGGACCAUGAGCACAUGGCCAAGAGAUGCUCACAUUGAGGACAUCCAUGAAAUACAGCCAGACUCAGUUGGCAAGCAAUGGAGCAUUUAUCUGAUUAUUAAUAGCCUAGGCAGGUUAUAAUAGUCUCAGAACCUGCCCAGUUUAGAUUUGUAGCUUGUUAAAAAAAAUUCUGAUGUGUUUCUGUUGUUUACUCGGGAGCUAAAUGGGAAAGAAUGGGCUGGCAGAUGGCUCAGCAGGUAAGAGCACUGACUGCUCUUCCAGAGGUCCUGAGUUCAAAUCCCAGCAACCACAUGGUGGCUCACAACCACCUGUAAUGAGAUCUGACACCCUCUUCUGAUGUGUCUGAAGACAACUACAGAGUACUUAUUUAAAAUAAUAAAUAAAUCUUGGGGUUGGAGCGAGCAGGAACUGAGUGAGUUGGGCCAACUGGAGUGACCAGAGGUCCUAAAUUCAAUUCCCAACAACCACAUGAAGGCUCACAACCCUCUGUACAACUACAGAGUACUCAUAUACAUAAAAUAAAUAAAUAGAUCUUUUUUAAAAAAAUAAAUAAAUGGGAAAGAACAGGGCAGAAACCCCUUACUUCAGUACUUGGUCUAAGAAGAAUCACGUUGGGACAGUCAGCAUUUCAUCUGUGAGAUUGGUUAAUCCUUGCUCUGUGGCAGUGUUCCAGACGCUCCAGCCUUAGAGGCAGCCUGCUCGCCCAUGUUGUGCUGCUUGUAACUCUUCCUAUGCGCCCUGAAGGAAGCACCAUGAACAGAAGGCCUGUGCCUGUCAGUAGCCUCAAAGGACACAUCCCUCACUGAGUCAUUAGGGUUCUGGUGACAGCCAAAGCCUCCAAGACUUUGUAUUGCCAGACUGACCUCGGCUUGGGGUGAUGAGUUCUGUGAGCUGGCCAUCCGCAGAGACGCUUUCCUUUAUUACUCCCCCGACAUCACUCACGGGGGCUUUAAGCAGAGUCAUUAAGUGGUUCUAGCUCAGGACGGUAAUGAGCACAUGAUGCUGGAACCAGGACACUGGCUUGUUACUAACAUGUUUCUCCAUCUCUGUAUCUGGCCUGUAUCUGUCCAGAUGGAAGAGUCUUAACCCGUGACUGCAUCUCCCCACUCCCCAUCCCUCCUCUCCCACUCUUCCUCUCUGCCUCUGGGUCUUACAGAGCCUAGGGUGGCCUUGAACUGCUAUGUUCACACCUAACGAUGACGUUGUGCUGUUCCUCCCAACUACACUUCCUGAGCACUGGAGUUGUAAGUUACAUACCCUGUUUAUAUGGCACUGGGGAUUGAACCCCUGGCUUCAUGCAUGGUAGGCAAACACUCUGCCAACUAAGCCGCAUGUCUAGGCUUCUCCUCCUCCUCCUCCUCCUCCUCCUCCUCCUCCUCCUCCUCCUCCUCCUCCUCUACCUCUCCUCCUCCUCCUCCUCUGCCUCCUCUACCUCUUCCUCCUCCUCCUCUACCUCUCCUCCUCCUCCUCCUCUACCUCUCCUCCUCCUCCUCCUCCUUCUUGUUUUUAACCUACCUCAGCUAUCCUAUAAGCAUAUUCCAUAUGGGACCUGGAUUUGCGUAUGUGUAAAAUGAAUUAUGUCUGUAUAUCUUACUGAUUAGGAGGAGGGCUCUGUGCCAAGCAUCCGUGUGGACGUCAGAGGACUUGAAUGAGGUGGUUUUCUCCUGUUACUCAGAUCCCGGGGACUGAACUCAGGUUUUCAAGCUGGCAAUCAAUUUGUGUGUUACUUUUAUUAUUUGUGUGUGUGUGAGUGUGUGUGUGUGAGUGUACUCGAGUGUGUGCAGUACCCUAGAAUGUUUGAGCCUAAAGGUCUAAAAUCCCCAGGAACUGGAAUUAUGGGCAGUAGCGAGCCAUAAAGUGGGUGCCCGGACUCGAACUCAGAUCCUCUGGAAGAGCAGCAAGCUCUCUUAAGCACUGAUCCAUCUCUCCAGCCCUCUGUUUUGUUUUGUUUUUUUGAGACAAGUUAUCAAUCUGUAGUUGAGAGGCUAUUCUAGAACUCAUGGCAAUCUCCCUGCCUCAGCCUCCAGAACACUGGUAUUCCAGCUGUGAGCUGUCGCAGGGCUAUCUUUCAGUCCCUUGUUCAUCGUUCCUUUGAAUGUAUCAAGAUGCUCUUUAUUUACUUACUAAAGUAUUUUUAUUUAUUAUUGUAUGUCUGAGUAUGUGUGCUUGCACAUGUGUGUAUGAGCACCUGCAGAGGCCAGCCAGAUCCCUCGGAGCUGGAGUCACAGGUGGCAUGAACUGCUUGACGUAGGUGCUGGGACUGAAUUCUGCAAGAGCAGCAGGUGUUCUUAACUGCAGAGUCAUCUCCAGCUCCCUUUGUUUUAUCUUUAAUUAAAAAAAAUGUAUAUAUAUCAGUGAUAUGCACAAACCUCAAGGACUCAGACAAACUUUAACCCUACCCCCCAGAUACAGAUCCCUCCUUCACCCAGAACAAGAGGCCUCUAGAAGCAGCGUGAGGAAGUUAAGAUGUCCUAUUGGCAACGCUAAAACAAGGGAAGCAAAAGGGGCUAAUUAAAAAAAAAUUUUUUUUAAUUUUAGAUGUUUUAUUUAUUUGUUUGUUUGUUUGUUUGUUUGUUUAUUUAUUUAUUAUAAGUACACUGUAGCUGUCUUCAGACACACCAGAAGAGGGCAUCAGAUCUCAUUACGGGUGGUUGUGAGCCACUAUGUGGUUGCUGGGAUUUGAACUCAUGACCUUCAGAAAAGCAGUCAGUGUUCUUAACCACUGAGACCUCUCUCCAGCCCUGAGGUAAAAUUUUAAUAAUGUAUUUCAUUUAAAACAACAGAUCCAAAAUAUAAUUUUAAUAUGUAAUUGGUAUUAAAUUUGUGGAUGUGAUAUCACAUUUUUUGCUUACUGGGACUUUACAGUCUAACAUUGGGGUAAUUCAGCAUAUUUCAAUUAGCCUGGCCACAUUUUAAGUGCUCAGUAGCCUCCAGUGGCUGGUGGCUACUAUACCAGACAACAUGGGAUCUAGAUCGCAAGGGAUGGCAGUGUUCAAUGAAAGUGAAGCCAACAACAUUCAUUGUUAGGGAUACAAAUUGUCCAAAACCAUCUCUUCUUUCUUUCCUCUUUCCAGUUCUACAGGUGGAACCCAGGGCCUCACAUAAUACCAUUGAGCUAUAUCCCUCUCCCGACUAUUUAAGUUAUAAGCCGCAAAGGUAUUUCUAUUGUAAGUACUGGUUACUUAGUUUCUCUCUUUCUCUCUCUCUCUCUUUUGUUUUUUGAGGCAGGGUUUCUCUGUAUAUCCUCGGCAGUCCUGAAACUCACUCUGUAGACCAGGCUGGCCUCUCAGAGGUCCACCUGCCUCUGUCUCCUGACUUGAGUGCUAGGAUUAAAGGAGUGGACCACCACCACCCCUCUAUAGUCUUUUUAUUUUUUACAUCAAGAUAGGGCUUCUGAACUCACUACUCUGCAGACCAGGCUGGCCUUACCACCACCCAUACUUAUAAUUUUAUUCUCAUGAAAACAAGUCCACACCCAGUCUCAGUUCCCUUGCACUUAGAUCACAGAACAGGAAGUUCCUGUGGCUGUCUUCAGUUCUCUUUUAGGCUUUCUUAGGAGAGGAGCAAGUUUUACACACUCUUAGGCCCAGGGACAUUUGAAUGAAAGGCUCUGUAGCUGUGCAAUUGGCUUCUAUCACUAAUCUUGAGUCAUAUCAGACUUUUGAAGAUGUAAGUUGUGCUGGGCGUGGUGUUGUACACCUUCAGUUCCAGCACUCAGGAGCAGAGGCAGGUGGAUCUCUGUGAGUUCAAGGCCAGCCUGGUCUACAGAUGGAGUUCCAGGACCGCUAAGACUACACAGAGAAACCCCAAAAGCCAAAAACCAACCAACCAAACCAACAAAAAUCACACCGUGUCUGUGGGUCCUGUACCUUGCUGCUCAUCUCAAGUCACUUCAGGGGCACAGCCAUGCCACAGAUCAAAUAUACAAUGCUGAGCAGGUGGUGGUGCUACACACUUGUGGUCCCAGCUCUUGGGAGAUGGGGGCAGGUAGUAGUUUAACUGAAUGUCUCUCCAUAGUUUCAGACAUUUAAACAUUUG